UACGAAGGGGGCUAGCGUUGUUCGGAAUCACUGGGCGUAAAGCGCACGUAGGCGGAUUUGUUAGUCAGGGGUGAAAUCCCGGGGCUCAACCUCGGAACUGCCUUUGAUACUGCAAGUCUCGAGUCCGAGAGAGGUGAGUGGAAUUCCUAGUGUAGAGGUGAAAUUCGUAGAUAUUAGGAAGAACACCAGUGGCGAAGGCGGCUCACUGGCUCGGUACUGACGCUGAGGUGCGAAAGCGCGGGGAGCAACCAGG
rnacentral:rRNA from 1 species